UUUGGAGGACUCCAACAUAUCAAGUAUGGAGGGAAUUGAUAGAAGCGAUAUGUCAGAGGUUGGCAAUGAAGAAGUUGACUUUGGACAAACAAAUAUUCACAAUUUUCAACAGUCAGACCAAAGGUAUCGUAGGAGUAAUCAACAAAGGCAAAAUCAUAGGAGCAAUCAACAAAGACAAAGACGACAAUCUAUGAAUUCAUCACAGCGGGCUCGAAAUUCAAUACGACGACGUGCCAAUUAUCAAACCCGCUUGAACUCAAUCAAUAUAGUCCAAAAUCAAACGGAAGUAAACCAAGAAAACAUAGGAUCGACAUCUGCGGUAACUAUGAUUUUUUUUUUUUUUUUUUGUCUCUAUUCAAUUCGUACGUUGUAUUAACAUUUUUGUACAAAUUAUUAAGACAAAUAUAUUAAGAUUGAACAAAUCAGUGAUUCUAAGUUGUCAUUGCCUUUUUGUACUAUCAAUGCAAACAUCCAUUUAAUAAUUCUGUUAUGUCUAUAAUAAUUUCAA